rnacentral:lncRNA from 1 species
AAAAAAAAAGAGUUAAAAAAUCAUUAAUCUCUGACAAGGGUCUGAGAAAGAGUUGCGGUUAGGUAUUAUUAUUGCCUCAUUUAUAAACCAGGAUCCCGAGUGACUCCAUAAGGUCACAAAACAAGCCCGUGUUGAAGCCGGGACUGGAACCGACGUCUCCUGCCUCCCAGUCCCCGUCCAGGGCUGUUACCCUUCCCUGGGAGUUGACCAGUCAUCACAGUUAUUAAUAUCCCACUUGCCACAUGCUACAAGCCAUGAACAUAAAUAUUUUUUUGGCAUUUUAUCUUCAUGCUCCUCGUGUGUCAGGCUCCCUUUCUGUCUCCAUUCACACCCCCUUCUAAAAACUCACAUUCCUGUUUGAACACAUUGGCCUUCACAUGAAAGUCACACGUCACCCUAGCAAGGAACGUUUCAGCAUGCAGGCUUUGUAUACUUUCAUUUUGAUCUCAAG